UUGAAGAGAACAAAAACACUCUACUUAAUGUUGAUGUAUGGAACGUAUAAACAAACAUAACACGCGCGGGGUAAUUAGAUAAUUAAACUUGACUAGUAGUGUGGGUUGACGGCGAAGCACUUCUCCCUGAUCUCUCCCUCGUCCCCGGUGAGCACCUGGACCUUGCCCAUCUUAACCAUGGCCUUGGCGAACUUGACCUGCCAUGCCUUCUCGACUGCGGCGUUGAAGUGGACCAUUCCGGCCGUCCAUGGGUUGUCGAGCAGUGUGUUGUAGGAGAUGAACAGGACCUUGUGUGCCAGCACGUUCUUGUAGUACUGGUUGUCGAAGGUCGCCGGCGUGACUGGGUCAAGCGGAACCACCGUGGGAUCCAUCUGGUCGUCGCUGGACGGCCAAUGGCACCGCGCCUUGAGGUGCCCGGCGUAGACGGGGUCGAGGGAUGGGUCCGUCUGCCCCAGCUGCCCGCUGAAGUUGUAGAGCCGCUGCAUGAAGGAGGAGCAGUGGGAGCGGCCGAUGGUGUGCGCGCCGGAGAGCGUGACCAUGUCGUCGGCGUUGAGCCCCUUGCGCUUGAAGCUCUUGAUGAGCUCGUCGACCUCGUCAGUCGGGGCGGGGACAUUGUUGUCGAGCACCUCCUCCUCUUUGGACACGCGACCGUCACGGCGGCCAGACGAGACCUUGUAGUCCAGGCCGCCGGCGAGGUAGGUGCUAUCACGGGCCGCGAACGCGACGAUGUCGGCGCAGGAGACGGUGCGCGGGCAGUGCGCCUCGAGGACGGCCUUGGCGUCGUCGAUGAUGUCAAAGCCGCGCAUGUUGGGGUUGUUGGCCACGGAGUCCUUCUCGGCCUUGUUGCCCGGCGUGGAGUUGAUGAGGAUGGAGCCGUCGUAGCCCCGGACGAAGCAGUCGUGGAAGUGCAUCCGGAUGAGCCUCGCGCCUAUGCCGGGCUCACGGGCGAUACCGCGGCGGACGGCGUGGCGCACGAUGUCCUCGGCGAGGCGUGUGCGUGUGCCGCUGAUGAGGAGACGACGACGAGCGCCGACAAGGCAAAUGCCAACCAAGUGGACCUCAUGACGAAGAUGAACAAUGGGUCGAUCAGAUGCUGCUCUCUCACUCUGAGCUUUCUAUCUGCUUUAGCUCUGGAGCUCGAUCGAGAUGAAGAGCUGCUUUAGAUGUUACUCUCUAUUUAUACAAUGUGCUUGGAACCGUGUUUGUGAACCGGGUCGACGAAUAAUAAGCAAGACCCGAUAUAAUCCCUGCAUCGCGAUAACAAUCAAGUAACAACUGCUACAAGAACUGUGUUAGUAGACUUUGUAGUACAUAUAUGUCAGCAUGUACCUAAUAAUGUUGCCCAAACUUUGUUGUAGCAGCAAAUGAUAAGCAAAGCAGAUAGUUGUUUAGAGAUCGAAAAUGAUGUUAGUUGCUUGAUCAGAGAAUUCAUGGAGACACAUACAAUUAAUUUGCCCCCUAAAAGCCAAAAGCCAAACCAAAGGGCUGGAUCCAGAAAGCAGCUUUUUCUAAAAGCUGACUUUCUCGCAGUGCAAAACUGAAAACACACCUAGACCUGCUUUUAGUAGCUUUCAGAUGGAACUGUGAAAACAUAUAUCGAAAUACUUUUAACGGCUUUUAGUGGUUUCACCAAAUAAUUUUUAGCUUUUUAAUAGCUCACAGCCCACAACAGCUUUUUCCACAGCUCACAGCACACAUCAGCUUUUUUCACAGCCACAGCCCAACCAAACAGACCCUAAGUCGUCAUGAUUAUUAGAUGGUCUAAUAUGAGUAGGACUCCAGAAGUAUAAAUAUGGCAAAAAUAUCAUUUGAAUAGAAGAGACAAGUUAGAGUCCUAAACAAAUAAGACAAUAUUCCAACAUAUAAGGUAGAGUCAUAAGCAAAUAAGACAUGAUUCUAACGGAUAAAAAAGUCACACUUGUAAUUAUAGAGUCAUGUGACUUAAUCGUAUUCACCACUUUAACUGCCCACCUCUUUGGACUAUAUCAGGAGAGACAAUGCAGCCCCAUGAGCAUAAACCAGAAUAUAACAGGUCAGUAGCCAUCAAAACACUGGACAUAGGGUAUUAUCUCAUGACGAGAGCCUAAACCAGCCUAACCUAAAUUGACCCUCGGGAAAUCCUCGAUAGAGGGGUUUGAAGUCCAACCUACAAAAGCAUUAGAGCAACGAGAGUUUACUAAGAAAGGUAAGUGUGUUCUUGAUCUCGUUGUUUUACUUAAUAAUGUUUACUAUUAUGUUCUCACCUAUGUAUUGCACAAUUAGAUUAACCUGAUGGGACCUAAUAGGUUACCUAACUUUGUUUUCCCUAUACCUUGUUUACCCCUAAGUUACUAAUUAUUGGGUAGACAUUCUUGUGCUCAACUUUGUUUUUGGGAAUAAUGAUACUUAUGAUUCAUGGUCAUGUUUUAUUAUGAUUUUUUAUUGUCGGUUUAUUUAUUAUGCAUGAUAAGUCAACCUUGUUUAAUUGGGACAUGGAGAACCAGUCGAGAAAACAAUGUAACCACAACUACUUUUAUGGCUCUAUUCUUAGCUAAUUGAUCAUGAAAGCUGGUGUGUAAGAACCUACCUCAACAGGGCCAAGCAGGGAGGAGUUGCUCAAGUAUAGAGAGGUUCUCAAGUUGAUCUGCUUUGCGGAAGCUGUUCAGACGAGGGGUUUAUAUACCAACUCCAUUUGAAACCGUAGCGGGUUUUCUCAUGUCAGUGGAAAUUUGUAAAGGCCUUGUAGUGAACCCUUCCUCACCUCCCUAGAAGAGAUGUAUGGGAGCCUUGAGCCCUUGGCAAAUGGGUAACAUAACUAUGGGUAAAGAUGUGCAACCUCUGCAGUGUGUAAAACUAAUAUAUCAGUCGUGCUCACGUUUACGAGCGGCUCGAACGCUCACAUGAUUAAAUUAUGGAAUUAAAUUAAAUCGGACGUGCAUUUUAUUAGGGGUGAAAACGGGUUGGGUAUAUCCCAUUUUUCGAUACGAAUUCAAGUAUUUUUAUACCUAGGACAGAUACGGGUAGUACCUGGAUAGUGCAGCUUCAGAUGCGGUACUCGGAUAUUCGAGUCAGAUACAAGCAUACAAAUUUCAGAUACCCGUUUUUUCUUUUUCUGCAUAAUAUAGUUAUUGUCGGUACCCUGAAUCAGGGGUACCCUCUUCUACAGCAUGAAGACGCUGUACACGUACGACGCCUCCAGACCACACGGAGAACGGCACCCGACCCCACCACAUGGGUAGGUCUAAGGGCACCACGUGGCAAGGAAAGAUAAUACAUCCUAGGAUGCAUCAUUGGGUCCGGGCCUCCAUAGAGGAACACCGGACCCCUGUACGUACAAGUCCGGAGCUCCCAAGAAGGCAUGCCGGGUCCCUUGGGUAGGCCCCGGGUCCCUCCGAGUAAGGUUCGGGCCUUGGCAAGGUCCCGGGACGGGGAGGACCCCGACAUGAGUAAGGGUCCGGUUCUGCCACGUGUUCAAGCCUUGCCCUACGCUCCCCACUCCGGCGGAGACCCGCUGCUGCCGCGUGGCUUGUGGCGCGUGACAUAAGCCAACGGGCCGAGCCUGACGAAAAGCCCCUAAAGCCGCGCAGCCUCUGCAUUUAUUACGGAGAGGACGCACCGCUUGACACCACGGUGACGGACGACGUGCCCUCUCAGCAUUUAAUGCGUCCUUUCCAAUUCGCUGGCAGACGGUGUUAGGGUCAUCCAGUAGACGGCGCGCCUAUGCAGUCUAUUGACGAACAGUGCGCCCGUGCCGUGCGGCGUACUAUGCUCACCACCCCUUCUACAAGAAGCUUCCCCUGCACACCGAGGAUACGCAGAUCUCGGAUGUCAGGGCACAAGAAGAUUGCCCCAGCAGCAAACAUUUGUAGCUCCAAGCGCUAUAUUCAUUAUGUCUCUGGGCCCACAUAUCGGGGUUCAGUACCUUUGUGCAUGCCCCCUUCAGCUAUAAAAGGGGAGGCAUGCGGCGUUACAAGACAGAUCCAAUCUUAGGCUCACUCAGACACUCACAAGUUCAUAUAAGCUCUCAAGCAAUACAUCACACAGUGGAGUAGGGUGUUAUGCUCCAGUGGCCCGAACCACUCUAAAUCCUUGUAUGUUCUUGUGUUGUUCCCAUUUUCCGACUAACAAGCAAAACGCCUAGGCCCCUCCUCAUCUUAGGAUUUAGGACGGGUGCACUCCGCCACCCGGCCGGAGAUUUCCUCUCCGACAUUUGGCGCACCAAGUAGGGGGGCUAGGCAUUAGAUUUUUGCUUGUUUCCUUGCUCAAGCAUGAUGGUGCAAAUCGUUGAGAACCGUGCCGAGACUUUGGUAGAUUUCACGGUGGAAGGAGAAACUGCUUCUUCCACGCCACAAGUUCCCAACCACCCCGUGCCAGGCACUGCUGUUGUGCACGCCGCACGGCAGCACACGGCUGCAUAGACGUCCUAGACUCCAUCGAGGGCGACUCUGGGAGCAUUGUCAGUAGCCAGGGAGUUGUUGCGACACCCUCCAAGCUCCACGGCCUCACCAGGGGCCAUCAAGCAAUGGCGGGACGACGUCGACCGACUACUCGGUAUGGCGCAUUCUACCUCGACCAGGUCAAGGACACGGUCAUCCUGGCGCCAAUACGAGGCAUCGGCGUCUGUGCGCUCGCCCUCAGUAAGGGGCGCUCAGACCAACGACCUCCGAGCAGAACUCGACCGCAAGCGUGCGAGAGAGGAUGCCCGAGUCUCCUUGGAAAGGGCGCGCGAGCGUCACCAAAACAUCGGUGGUCGCAACCUCGAUCAAGACUUCACUGCGGUUGCACCGCAGACACCAAUGGGUAUCCGGUCUCAAACGGGUGUCCCCUUGGCCGGUGUGGGCUGCGCCGCUCUCACAGAUCAUCUCCGCGCGGCGUCAUGGUCAUCCAAGUUCCGGCCGCACCUGUCGGAAAAGUACGAUGGAACAUCAAACCUGUCGGAGUUCCUGCAGGUGUACGUCACCGCCAUCACGGCAGCAGGUGGAAACACCGCUGUGAUGGCAACAUAUUUUCAUGUCGCCUUGUCUGGACCAGCCCGGACUUGGCUCAUGAACCUCGCCCCAGGGUUAGUCUACUCCUGGGAAGAGCUCUGCGCGCGGUUCGUUGCGAACUUCGCCAAUGCUUACCAGCAGCACGGUGUGGAGGCCCACCUCCAUGUGGUGAGGCAGAAGCCCAGGGAGACUCUCCAGAAAUUCAUCUACCGCUUCACCAAGGUGCGAGGUACCAUACCUCGCAUUUCUGAUGCUUCCAUCAUCACGGCCAUCUGACAGGGAGUACGUGAUGAGAAAAUUCUAGAGAAGUUGGCCACACAUGACGUGGAAACUGUCCCCACACUCUUUGCUCUGGCCGAUAAGUGCGCCAGAGCCGCCGAGGGUCAUGCAUGGCACUCGGCCCCACAAACCGGAGCUGCCCAGUCAGGUGGCUCGGGUGCCGUCCCCCGGGACAGAAAGAAGAAAAAGAAGAAGGACCGCGAAUACCGGAAGCCGCGGUCCACCGCUCUGGUUGUCGCAACCACGACCAGAGGCCUGGGCGACCGCAACAAACAUCCACGACCGCAGAAGGGUAACAACGGCUCAUGCCCUGUACACCCCAACAGUCGCCACAGCUCUGUGGAGUGUCGCGAGAUCAUUGACCUCGCGAAGCGUGUCAGUGAGCGGCGCGAGCAGUCUUCCAAAGACGGCUCCCCACCUCGUCGCUGACCUAGCAAAGAAAAGGUGGGCGACGGCAAGGUGGCCACGACUGAAUGGGACCUCGGGUAUCAGUCACCCGAAGGGGACCUGAAGGAUGUCUUCGCUGGAGGCUCCUACUCUGGUGGAGACAACUAGACGGACCCCAGAGGGACCCCGUGUUCCCCGGUCUACGGAGCUAAAGCUUGCCUUCCUCCGGAAACCCUUCCGGACUCCCCACAGGUCCAGGCUUCUGACAGGUACAUACAGGAACGGCCACAACCAAAGGCGAGGGCUCCCGUGUCAAAUGCAGAUGGGGACCCAGGGUCGGGACAUAGCCCUACGGCAAGUACCAAACCAAGAAGGGCUCUGCAACUCUCCCCCAGCUGGGAAGGACCCUUCAAGGUAACGGGAAUGCACCGACCCGAGGGCAACCAUCUAGCUACGACUAAAGGAGUCUCUCACCCCGAUGCUGAAACAUCUCUGUAAGUUCUAUCCAUAGAGCAAGUCUGAGGGGUCGAUUUAGUUGCCCUUUUGUAACCAGGUAGCACAUACGUGUACGCCAACCUAGUGGGGUCCAUCCACAUAAACCUAGCAUGUUGGUCUGCACCCACGCAUGAUGAGUUAUAAAGAAAAACUACCCCCUCAGUUGAGCCCCUAUGAUAGUUCCAUCUCGCUGCUCCAUGGUCUUACCUUGUAGUUUUUCAGAUAAUACUUUUUAUCUAACCCACCCGUACGGUUUCCAUCUGUACUGACAUGACGACAUCCAAAUUGAGCAGUCAGGCUUACAGUUUAGGGCCCCCGAUACGAAAGUUGGGAGGUCCGACAGCCUGGGAGCCGGCUCCAGAGAACGGAACCCUGUUCCAUGGGAUGGUCCGGAGCCUGUGUGACCGCUUAGCCUGGUUCCAUACCUGAAAGCCUGCACACUCCACCACUCUGUGACGGGUACCUAGUAUUUAGGGCUAUAAGUCUUGUGGGUCCGACAACCUCGGGACCGGAACUAGAGAAUGGACAUUAGUCUUCUGGGGUGGUCCGGAGCCCGUGUAGCCGCUCAGCCUGGUCCCGUACCGUGGGCCUGCACGCUCCACCGCCCUGCGACAAGUGUCCUAGUAUCUAGAGCCACGACCCAAGGGGGUCCGGACACGCAACUUGGCCACCCGGGCUGAAACCUGCGAGUCCCGAACAUGUAUCAAAGGAUGGCUAAUGUCAGACAGGGGACCCUAUGGGUGUACUACUAACGCUCCUUAGCUGAAGUUGUGAACAGAUCCAGACCUCGGUGAGGCUGCUUCCCGAGAAUUAUUGACAACCUUUUCAGAUACGCUGGUACCCAACCUCAACAAAUCAAGCCUGCAUCCUAGGCUGGGGGGGGGCAGGUACCAGGGAGGAGUCAACAAUAUCGCACACAACAAAAACAAGUUGAAAAUAGAUAAGUGCUAAUACUUCUUAACAAAUAGUACUCUUGAGUACCUUACAAAAAGCAAAAGUAUUACAUCUGUUUUUCAAGUGGAGCCCUAGUUCCAUCUCUACUCUGCAGGUAUGAACUACCUCCACACCAGUAGGGCCACGAGAUAGCUAGCUCCGAGCGGCUCGCUAGCGGAGGCGACCACCUCAGCAUCGACGGCGGUGGCCACCUCUGCACCGACGACUCACCAGCAAUGGCGAUCACCUCAGCACGUGCGCCAUUGCGAAAAGGUCCUCGCCCCCGUCUUCCUACGGGGGGCGACAACGAGGCCAUUAAAGCUAAAGAGUCAGAAGGCUCGGUGGCAGGUGGCGCUGAUGGUCUCGCCAGCGGAGGCAACCACCUCUGCAACGGGCAGCCUCACCAGCGGCGGCGACCACCUCAGCACCAACGACAGCGGCCACCUCUGCACCGGUGGACGGCGGCUGCCGCAGCACACGCGAAGAGGUCCUCGCUCCCGUCCUCACUGCAGGAGUGGGGACAAGACCAUCCAAGAACGCGGUCGUCGCCCCCACGGCGUACGAUGUCUUGUACGGCCCCCGGUGCGGCCGUCGGCGCAGGAGAAGCCGUGGACGUGGCGGACCUGCGCACGGCACGACUGUCGCCUGUGCGGUGGAUGGGCAGCCACGCCCCAACUAAACAGCAGGAGGCAGCGUCGGAGGCGGCACCGAGGCCAUCCAAGCUGGGGAACCGGGCACGCGGCGGCCGGCGGCGCCUGCAGUCGGCCGGUCCCGCGUACCCGAAGUUCACCUCCUCUGCAAGGCUGGUGAACUCCCUUCUCCCCCGAAUGCUGGAGGAAGAAGCGGGCCGCCAGCCCAUGUGGAAGGCGGGACCCCAACUCGGCUCGCCCUCCUCCCCAGCGCGGAUGAUGAACAUCCUUGAAGCUGAGGGCAGGGGGAGGCCACAGCCCAGCUUGCUUCUCUCCACCACAAGGCUGGUGGUCAUCCCUCUAGAUGACCACUGGCGGGAGAUUGCAGUUGGGCUGCAUGAUGAAAAUCCUUGAAGCCGAGCGAUGGAGGAAGAGCGCCAACCCCUACAGGGUUGCGCUCCUCUAACAGCAGCAAGAAGAAGACAAGAUCGGCAGCACCACCACGAGCGCGAGCUCUCCGGCGGUGAGAUCCCUGGAGGGGGCGGCCCUGACACGGAUCCCUCCAGAGAACACCGGCGCACCCCAUCUGGAGGCCCGGAAGGCGGAAGGGCGUGAUGAAUGCAAGAGGAGCAAAGCAUGGCUACUGGCCGGGAGAUCGAUCCCUUUUUAAAAGCAGAUCUUCCCACUCGCGCCCCGAAGCGUCACGAGCAAGGUCUCCCCCGAUGUGCACCAGGGUUCCCACCCUAUGACACGGGGGCCAAGUCCCACAUGUCAUACUGACUGACCCAAAGAACGAAGAAGGCGAACCACCGCACAAGGAGCAUACAACUGCCCCACGGUUAUGUGCCCCUUCAUUUUUGGAGCAACCAGCGGUCAGGAAGGCGAACCGCUGCACAAGGAGCAUGCAACCUCCCCGCGUUCAUGCGCCCCUUCGUUUUCGCCGAAACCAGCAGUCAGGAAGGCAAACCGCCACGAAGGAAGCGUACAACCGCCCCAUAGUUGUGCGCCCCCUCAGCUUCGCUGCAACUGGUGGUCCGACAUGGGACCCAGGCCCACAUGUCAUGCAGCCGACGCGCCAGUUACCGGGUGCGGAAAAAUCGCACCGCCACUCGCGCCAAUGCCACGUCUUCUCGGGGCCGACGUGGAAGACUAAAAAGAUAAGUUUCCAAAACCAGUGCAGCGACUCGAGGCAUCCCGCGCAUGGCCCAACAGUGGCUUUAAGUACGAAGGUCGAGGGCCAGUCAGCCGUGGGAAUAGGCGUAGCAGUCGGCAUGACCAUAGGCGAGCCGACAAUAAUUGCGUCAACAGGCGCGCAGGAGCAGUAGGCCAACCGCUAAUCAGACUCUGGCCCCACCUGCAGGCUCGCAUCCUCCCCUAAGACGGGCCCAGGGGCCACUGUCGGUACCCUGAAUCAGGGGUACCCUCUUCUACAGCAUGAAGAUGCUGCACACGUACGACGCCUCCAGACCACACGGAGAACGGCACCCAACCCCACCACAUGGGCAGGUCUAAGGGCACCACGUGGCAAGGAAAGAUAAUACAUCCCAGGAUGCAUCAUUGGGUCCGGGCCUCCAUACAGGGACACCAGACCCCUGUACGUACAAGUCCGGAGCUCCCAAGAAGGCAUGUCGGGUCCCUCGGUUAGGCCCCGGGUCCCUCCGAGUAAGGUUCGGGCCUUGGCAAGGUCCCGGGACGGGGAGGACCCCUGCAUGAGUAAGGGUCCGGUUCUGGCACGUGUCCGGGCCUUGCCCUACGCUCCCCACUCAGGCAGAGACCAGCUGCUGCCGCGUGGCUUGUGGCCCAUGACAUAAGCCAACAGGCCGAGCCUGACGAAAAGCCCCUAAAGCCGCACAACCUCUGCAUUUAUUGCGGAGAGGACACGUCGCCUGCCACCACGCUGAUGGAUGACGUGCCCUCUCAGCAUUUAAUGCAUCCUGUCCAAUCCGCUGGCAGACGGCGUCAGGGUCAUCCAGCAGACGACGCGCAUGUCCAGUCUGUUGACGAACAGUGCGCUCGUGCCAUGCGGCGUACUAUGCUCACCACCCCUUCUACAAGAAGCUUCCCCUGCACGCCGAGGAUACGCAGAUCUCGGAUGUCAGGGCACAAGAAGAUUGCCCCAACAGCGAACAUUUGUAGCUCCAAGCGCUAUAUUCAUUAUGUCUCUGGGCCCACAUAUCGGGGUUCAGUACCUUUCUGCAUGCCCCCUUCAGCUAUAAAAGGGGAGGCAUGCGGCGUUACAAGAUAGAUCCAAUCUUAGGCUCACUCAGACACUCACAAGUUCAUACAAGCUCUCAAGCAAUACAUCACACAGUGGAGUAGGGUGUUACUCUCCGGCGGCCCGAACCACUCUAAAUCCUUGUGUGUUCUUGUGUUGUUCCCAUUUUCCGAAUAACAAGCAAAACGUGUAGGCCCCUCCUCAUCUUAGGAUUUAGGACGGGUGCACUCCGCCACCCGGCCGGAGAUUUCCUCUCCGACAGUUAUAAAAUCACAACUUUUACAUAUAACCAGAUGAAUAUAAAGUUUAUAUAAAAAUUGUAGAGCUUGAAGAGAUCUAUAACUUUAUAGUACAUCAUAUUUUUGUUGAACAUAUCUUAAGGUCGAAAUCAUUGAAAUAAUAUCCAAAUUUAUAUCAAAUUAAUAGACUUUAUCAUUUUCAUAUGGGGACUUAAGGUUAUCUUCAUGUGGGGACUAAAAGUUAUCUUCUUAUAGACUAUUUAUUAGUCUUAGUAACUUAUUUGCCAUUUUUGGUGAUUUUCCAUAGAAAGAAUUAAUAUUACAUAAAUAGCCUAAAUAAUUCAUGAAAUUUUGUGGAGACCUAACAUAUGUUCAUAAAUGAUCAUAAAAAAUAUUUGGAUCAUAAAUCUCACAAGAUGUUAACAUUUCUUCCAUUUUAUUUACAAUUAUUGCGUGAGUUACACGUGAAAUCAUUCUAUGUAUCCAUGUUUCAACAUAAUCAAUACUUCACUUAUCAUUUUCAUGUGGGUACUUGAGAUUAUCUUAGUAUAGAAUGUUUAUUAGUUUCGACAACUUAUUUGCAUUUUUUGUCAAAACUAGAAUAUUUUAUGAAUUUAAUUGCAUUUUGAUGAUUUUCUAUAGAAAGAAAUUAAUAAUACACAAAUAGCCUCAUAAUUUCAUGAAAUUUUACGGAGGCACAACAUAUGUCCACAUAUAGUCAUAAAACAGUGGGACAAUAAAAUCCAUAAGAUGUCAGCAUUUCUUCUAUUUCACUUCCACGUCUUCGCGUGAGUUACACGUGAAAUCACUCUAAGUAUCCAGGUUUCAACAUAAUUGAAAACUUCUCUUUAUCAUUUUUGUGUGGGGACUUGAGGUUAUCUUCUUAUGAAAUGUUUAUUAGUCUUGAUAAUUUAUUUGCAAUCUCUGGUCAAACAAGGAUAUUUUAUGAUAAGCAAUUCAUUCAUUAUCUAGCAAGUAUAUGAUAUCCAAUAAAAUAAUAUAUGUAUCCGUCACUUAUCCGCAUGAAUAAAUAUCUGGUCCAUGUAUCCAUAUCCACCCCAUUUCUAACUAUCCAUAUCAGACCCCAAUUCCAAUUGAAAUACAUUUGGGUAGGAUACAGGAUGAUCUACUAUUCAUCUCGUUUUCACCCCUACAUUUUAUUGUUGGUAUUGUCUUUAUGAUCAUUUAUUUAGUUAGAAUGGUAUAUACUUAUACUUAGUAACUGCUAAUAAAAUUUUGAUCAACAAAAUUAAAGCUAAUGUUUAGCAUUAGCCAUAUUCCUUGGUAAGCUUACACUGCUUUUUUCCCUACACAUUUGCUGAGUAUCAACCAUAAGUGUACUCACUCUUGAGGGAUUUGCUGCUCGGAAUUAGGUCAACAUGAAGAAGAAUACUAUGAUGAGUUCGAGGAGUCUAGGCUAUGUCGCUCCGGUUCACCUACCUGUGGCUUAUGAUCGGGAUCGUCGUCGUCGUGAUCAUCGUUUAGUUUCUAUUAUUUAGUUAUUUUGUAAAGACAUUUUACUUAUACAAUAAAGUUUGUGGAACUAGUUUCUAUACAAUAAGUCAUCAUAUGUGUGAAAUUUGAUCCUGGCACACAUAUGAGAUACAUCAGGAUUUGUCCUUAAAUCCGGUUGUGACGCCGACCAUGUUGGUCGUGUGAUAUCCUGGCCCCUGAGAUGGUGUUUUCCUGGCCCAAGGCUUAAUAGAAUUAAUAGAGUAUCCAUACCAACAAGGUGCAUCUUCUUUUUCGGAAGCCUAUCUCGAAAGAAUUUCCAUGUUAAGCGUGCUUGGCUUGGAUCGAUUUGGGAUGGGUGACCACCGGGAAGUUUUCUCAGGUGCACAUGAGUGAGGACAAACUGUGCAUAAAAGACUCGUGUUGGUCUGUGGGGACGAUAUAUGAUCCUAGAGAGUUGUCCAGAAUAAGUAUCGCCGGUCCAGGGAUUGGAUGGGGUGUUACAAGUGGUAUCAGAGCCGACCCUCGAGGUUUCACGGGCGUGUGUGGGCUAGGGGUUUGGGUAUAUGGCGCAUGGUGCAUGUGGGCCCGGAGUGGUCAUAUGGCAUGGCAUAUGACGACACUAGACACACAGACGUGGCUAAGAGGGGAGGUUCCUGGAUUGGGGUUGACCGACGAGGACGUUGGUCUUCUAAGGGGGGGUGGAUUGUGAUAUCCUAGCCCCUGGGAUGGUGAUUUCCUGGCCCAAGGCUUAAUAGAAUUAAUAGAGUAUCCAUACCAACAAGGUGCAUCUUCUUUUUCAGAAGCCUAUCUCGAAAGAACCUCCAAGUUAAGUGUGUUUGGUUUGGAUCAAUUUGGGAUGGGUGACCAACCGAGAAGUUUUCUCGGGUGCGCAUGAGUGAGGACAAAGUGUGCACAAAAGACUCGUGUUGGUCUGUGGGGACGAUAUAUGAUCCUAGAGAGCUGCCAUGAGUAAGUACCGCCGAUCCUGGGAUUGGACGGGGUGUUACAGGUCGGUAUCAACCGCGCAUUAGAGUCUUGCUGGUAUCCACCAUGUCCGGUCGGUACCAACCACCUAGUGCCGAUGUGGUAGAUUCUAUUCAGUAGAAUCCAUUUUAAUCGUUGGAAUUCAAAAAAAAAAUCAAAAAACUUAAAUCCACCCAUUAAAUAUAGAGGGGGUGUAUGGGUUCAUUCGCACCCCUCACUCUUCAAUUCACAAGCCUUCUUCUCUAUUUGUUGUCGCCCACUCUCUAUCUUGCAUGAAUCCAAGGUGGAUUCUUAACUUUGAUAUGUUCACCGACUUGCACAACAAGCAAUCUCCACAAUAUCUUGAGACCCCCUUUUGGCGUGGGCAGAUCGUCUCCGAUGGUCUUUCUCCUAUCCAACAUUGGCUAGAAGAUGUAUAUGUUUGUCUUCAUUUCUUGACUCUCCAACCAUUGUUCCAUAUUCGUAUCCAUGUUGACCAUCAAUUGAUGUUCCUCCUCCUACCACUGAACCAAUUACAUCCAACGCUCCUUCUCCUCCUACUAGUGAAGUUUCUUCCACCGAUGUUACUCCUCCUCAACCUUUCACUUAUUUGUACCUUCCUCCAUACCUGUACUUGUAUGGGUAUCCAUAUGAUGAUCCUCCCUCAUUUCUUCCUCUAUAUGAUGCUCCUCUAAUAUAUGGUGCUCAUGCUCCUUUUUACCCUUUCAUAGGCACGACAAUGCCCCCAAGCAGCCAUAACGAUGCAGCCUCCAACUAGUCCACAUACUCUGGUGUGACUUAGUUCCAACGACAAAUGGAUUGGACUAGUAUGGAGGACAAAAGACUCGUAAGUAUUAAGUACAUAUAUAUUUUUAUAAAUCGGACACAAGUUUUAGGCCGACAACAUUUUUUAGUUCAUAAACUUGUAGGUCCACACAUGGCUAUUGCACUCUAUUGACCCCAUUAAGAGAAAUGACAAAAAUGGAUCUGUCUUUUUGUAUAAGCCAAAUAAUAACUAUGUGCAACUCCACCUCAAAACCUCCUAACCAUAAUACCCCAAGCAACCAAAGGACCAGUGGUCCAUAAGCAAUCAUAAGGUCACCCUCUUCAAUGACACCUACAACCAAUUAUCCAUGGCAUGGCUAGUGGAGCAAAUUGUGCUAUGCUUCUCAAAGUGGAAAAGAAGAGCUUCCACAAUAGGCCUGGUGAAACGUACUUUCAACUAGAGCACAUAUGGAGUGCUCUUCACAAGUAGCCCAAGUGGUGCGCGUGGCAUGAUGAUGAUGAUGCUAGAUAUGCAAGCAAUCGACCACGUCUCAAAAUAGAAGUUGAUUAUAGCUCUGCAUCGCUAGACAAUGUCGGACCCAUAUGACAUAUUGGCCAUGAAAGGGAAAGAGCGCAACACAAAGGGAAGGGGCCAACAACGAGUAGCAUGGUGAACAAGCUCUACAAGGCUAGCUAGAGGAUAACACAAUCAAAAUUAUUUGAGCACUUCACCAAGUUAUUAGAUCAGCCAACCAUCGAUAUGAAUGAUGUCUUGAAAAAGACACAUAGGUUGGGUGUAAAAAAUGACCAAGCAAUUAAAACUAGAUGAGGAAGAAAAUGUGGAACUGAUAGAGGAGGGUGAUGACGAUGAGUAGUAGUAAUGUAUUAUUUUUUACAAACAUGUAUUUUUAUUUAAAAAAUACAAAUUUAUUUAUUUUAAUUAUGUAAUUUUAUUUUCUUAAUUGCAUGAUCAGAUGAUUUUUCCAACAAAAUAUAGUGUAUUUUUCAAAUACAAAUCGGUAAAAGAAAAAGAUAGUGUGGUGUUGACGUGACUAUGGUUGACAAUAAACUUGUAUAUAGUCUUAUAAUUAAUAAGGGAUCAUAGCACGAUUGAUAGUGUGAUUGAUAGCUGAUGGUGAUAAGUGUCGAGUGCAUUAGAUCUAGCCUAGGCCAUAUGGAUUAUGUUAUCACAAGCCUGGAUCACUAUUCAUAGUAUGAAAUAUGUUAAAGUCUAUGGCAUAUUGUCAAAAGUAUUGAGAUUCUUAAUAUGAAUUGAUGCUAAAAUGCUUUUGCACAGACAAUUGAUGAUGCAAGAGGAUAUAUUAGCAGGGGUGGGCUCAAUUAUAUUAAAUGGUAUUCGAUUGAAUAUCUAGUUUUUUGGCAAGAAAAAUUAUCUAUUUAGUGUAUAUAUGUAUACAUACUGGACAGAAGAAAAAUGAAGAUAAAUAAAUAUACAAUGAAGAAUUGGGUCCAAAAUAGACUUUUCUACUAUCCCCUCCCCAUCCUUGGACUAAUGGCCCAUUUUGGUUGAAGAAUGUAUAAGGCAAAAAGCCAAAAACAACUUGGCCUCCCCACCCUACCUAUUCACUCUAUUUCUCAGCCUCACACCUAUGACUGCUGAAAGCAUCUAGGCCCUCAAAAGUUAUGAUGAUUAAUGACAACAUAAGAUUAUUGUGACUAAUUUGUGUGUUGCAUAGGCAAAUUUGAGUUAGAUCAUAAUGAUGGAGAAUGGUUUAGAGAAUGUAUGUUUUCUAUGCCCCUACUUAUGAAUUUCGUUGUGGUCUUCAAAAGGAUGAAAGACACGGUUAAGAAUCAAUUAGUUCUAAGUUUCGAUUGGAGUUGAGACACUCAGAGUAGUUUGGGACUUAGUUGUUCCUUUUACCAUACUAUAAAGGGAGUAGUUUAGGACUUCGCUUUUCCUUUGAUCAUACUAUAAGAGGAGUAUAAACUAGUAGCUUGACUAAAUAAGUCUAAUGAGUCUAGUGUGGCAUAAACUAGUUGUUUUUAACGCUAGCUGACUUAGAAGGGGCCAAAAACUAGUCAGGAUCAAAACUCAACUCUUAAGUUUCAAAAUUGGACAAGUUAGAAGGGUUUCAAUGUCUUAGACCUUGUGUUUUACGGUUAUUAGACCAUAGUGGAUUAGUCUAAUUCCUCCACAUAGACAACACGAUAGCACCCAAUCAUCAAACCCUAAAACAGUACCUCAUCGAACCAAUGCAUUGGGUCUAAUUGUUUGUGUGAUCAGAUGGAGAGCUCUAGGGGUACGUCGGAUUGGUUUGAUGAUAUGUGUCAGACUGAACAAUGGCACUAUUUCAGCUACGGUUUUGGCUACAGGGUCAUCGGGCGCUAUGAACAGUUGCCUCAUUGAACCAAAGAGGAUAAGUUUAACAAGUGUUGCCCAAUGACUAGAGAGAUUUUUGUGGGCAUCAUACUAGUCCGACAAUGGGUGUAGGAUCAUACGUCGAAGGCUAAGUUUUAAAUGACCAGUUCUGACAUGGCACAAUAGUUACCAUUGUGUCUCAUCAGACCCUACAUUAAGGUACGACAAUGAUCGUUGGAUGGUAUGUCGAUGUUGAAUUUAGCCUAACUUGGCAGUAAUGGUUGGUUAGCUGGUUUGAGACUACAAAUAUCCCCAUCAAAUGGCCAACACACCUACCCUUGUCUUCAUUUAAUAGCCAAAGCAACCCAUAUAUUGUGAGAUAAGGAGUCAUUGCAUAGUGGGGGACUUGAGAGUCGGAUUCCUAAUUUUAUUGGCCUAAUUAAUGCAAACAAGAGAGAUUAGUGUGCAUCCAUUAAUCUCAUCAGUUUUUUAGAGACAAGUGAUAAUUUGUGUUUAUUACUCUUGGUGACUAGCAUCACCUAUAUGGUUUGGUGGCACUUGAAGUGCAACGAGCAUCUAGAGAGAUAGUGGGUGGCCCAACUAAAAAACUAUAUAUGGUUGUGAGCGGUUCACCGUGAUGAAGUGGAAAAGAACUAGCUUGCAGUGAGCACUUAGUCCUUGUGCGAAUCAAGGGGGUGAAAACCUUAUGUGGUUGCUCCAAUAAUGAGGAUUAGGGAAGAACGUCAACUCUCUGUGACAUCAGAACAAACUUGAGGAAUCUUCUAAAUCCUUGCAUUACUUUCCACAAUUAUGUUUGUACAAAUUUACAUUCUUAGAUUUGCCAUGAUGCAUAAUGUUGAAAUUAAGGCACAAAAUUUUUGUAUACACAUUAGACACUUGGGUGAAAUUAAGCUUAUUAUAAUUAGGAUAUGCAUAUGUAUUGUGAUGAAGAAAAAAAUGAAGAUCAAUAAACAUCUAGUGACAAAUUCAAUAUAAAAUAGAUUUUUCUACUCCCCUCCCCUCCACACCCGGGGAAAUCCUCAGCCACCCUUCCCCACCUAUUCACUCUCUUUCUCGGUCCCUCCCGUGAGUGUAACUGAAAAGGUGGUGAUCGAAAACACUGCAAGCCCACUACUUCUCCCCGUUUGGAAUUAAACACCAAUAAGGAAGAUGUCAAAAGAAAUAGGGAUGGUCAAUUCUUGUGACCCUAUAAAAUUUUCCUCCUUCCAAAUGAAAUAUCCCCCUUUGUUAUAAGAAUUUGUUCACAAUAAUUUGACCGUUGCGAUAAAUAGACUAAAUUGAUCCUAUAUGUAUGCAUAAAUAUGAUGAAUAGCAAACCAUAUGAAUAACAUAUUAAUGAAUUGAAAGCAUGUGGGAGUUUAACCUAUACGAAGAAAGCAAGCAAGAGAUACUAAAUACUCUUGAAACCAAUAUGCAUGGUAUUAAAGUUGAUACUAGUAUGUAUGGUACCUAUUGUUGUAGAAAUCUCGAAACACAAAGAAUGUUACUUGAUAAACUUGUUUGAUUUCAAAGCCUUGAAGAGAACGAAAAACACUCUACAUAAUGUUGAUAUAUGGAACGUAUAAACAAACAUAACACGCGCGGGGUAAUUAGCUUAUUAAACUUGACUAGUAGUGUGGGUUGACGGUGAAGCACUUCCCCCUGAUCUCUCCCUCGUCGCCGGUGAGCACCUGGACCUUGCCCAUCUUAGCUAAGACCUUGGCAAACUUGACCUGCCAUGCCUUCUCGACUACGACGUUGAAGUGGACCAUUCCGGCCGUCCAAGGAUUGUCGAGCAGUGUGUUGUCAGAGACGAACAGGACCUUUUGCGCUAGCUCGUUCUUGUAGUACUGGUUGUCGAAGGUCGCCGGUGUGACUGGGUCAAGCGGCACCACCGUGGGGUCCAUCUGGUCGUUGGUGGACGGCCAAGGGCACCGCGCCUUGAGGUGCCCGGCGUAGGCGGGGUCGAGGGACGGGUCUGUCCGCCCCAGCUGCCCGCUGAAGUUGUAGAGCCGCUGCGUGAAGGAGGAGCAGUGGGAGCGGACGAUGGUGUGCGCGCCAUAGAGCGUGACCAUGUCGUCGGCGUCCUCCACGGGCCGCGGUCGGCACUCGCUCCUCCGGGGCCACCAUCGCCGUUGCUCGUGCCUCGGUAACCACCGCCGACGAGUGAGGGGGCGUGUAGCUCGCUUGCGCCUCACCGGGCCGCGGCCGGCGCCCGUGCCUCAUGGGCUGUCGGCAUCGAUCGCGCCUCUCGGGCCAUCAUCGUCGCUCGUACUCAGGGAACUGCUGUCGUCGCUCGUGCGUCAGGAUGGUGGCGUCAAAAAAUGAACUCUAGAGGCCUAGAACUCCUUUUAUAGACGUUGAUACCUGAUUGGGUUGGACCGCGUUGCCUAGUUUCUAGACUAGGCUUCCUUUAGUUAUUAAAAACCCAAAUAUAUGGACUUUAGUACCAGUUCAUGAUUACAACCGGUGCUAAAGUUUCAACUUUAGUACGGCUCUAGCCAAGAACCGAUACUAAUAGGGGACCUUUAGUAACGGUUCUAACCAAGAACCGGUACUGAAGUACUAUCUAUAGUACCAGUCAGUGCAAUCGGUAAAUUUGCGGGCUUUUAGUGUCAGAUGCGGUCUUUUAGUCUAACUUUCAAUAAAUACAAGUACAAAAAAUUCAGUUGCAGUUCUCAAAAGCACUUCUCCCUGGAAAGAAAAGUGAAUUGUUUUGGUGAACAUCAAAGAAAAAGCUUGCUCUUCUUUCGUAAAAAAUUCUUCUAAAAAUACCGAACCCAAUCGUUGCAUAAAAGUUUGUACCGCACUUUUAUGUUUACGAGCUAAAGUUCUAGCAUAUGAAAGUCAAAAUAUAUAUUUUAGUCGAUACAAAGUCUGUUUUUUCGAAGAUCCACUAUGAUAAUGAAAAUAUUUCUACAUAAAACUCUCAGUGUUGUACAGACUACAUACACAGUGCUCGCGGGAAAAAAAGAGCUUCUAUAUUUGUGAUCGGAUGUGGUCACUAAAUAUGUACAUGCAUGUUGUGCAAAUAACACCAUUUUACUUGAUAAACUUGUUUGAUUUCACAGCCUUGAAGAGAACAAAAAACACUCUACUUAAUGUUGAUGUAUGGAACGUAUAAACAAACAUAACACGCGCGGGGUAAUUAGAUAAUUAAACUUGACUAGUAGUGUGGGUUUACGGCGAAGCACUUCUCCCUGAUCUCUCCCUCGUCGCCGGUGAGCACCUGGACCUUGCCCAUCUUAACCAUGGCCUUGGCGAACUUGACCUGCCAUGCCUUCUCGACUGCGGCGUUGAAGUGGACCAUUCCGGCCGUCCAUGGGUUGUCGAGCAGUGUGUUGUCAGAGAUGAACAGGACCUUGUGCGCCAGCACGUUCUUGUAGUACUGGUUGUCGAAGGUCGCCGGCGUGACUGGGUCAAGCGGCACCACCGUGGGGUCCAUCUGGUCGUCGCUGGACGGCCAAGGGCACCGUGCCUUUAGGUGCCCGGCGUAGGCGGGGUCGAGGGACGGGUCUGUCUGCCCCAGCUGCCCGCUGAAGUUGU
rnacentral:lncRNA from 1 species